UGGGGAAUAUUGCACAAUGGACGAAAGUCUGAUGCAGCAACGCCGCGUGGAGGAUGACACAUUUCGGUGCGUAAACUCCUUUUAUAUGGGAAGAUAAUGACGGUACCAUAUGAAUAAGCACCGGCUAACUCCGUGCCAGCAGCCGCGGUAAUACGGAGGGUGCAAGCGUUACUCGGAAUCACUGGGCGUAAAGAGCGUGUAGGCGGAUAUAUAAGUCAGAAGUGAAAUCCAAUAGCUUAACUAUUGAACUGCUUUUGAAACUGUAUAUCUAGAAUGUGGGAGAGGUAGAUGGAAUUUCUGGUGUAGGGGUAAAAUCCGUAGAGAUCAGAAGGAAUACCGAUUGCGAAGGCGAUCUACUGGAACAUUAUUGACGCUGAGACGCGAAAGCGUGGGGAGCAAACAGG
rnacentral:rRNA from 1 species